rnacentral:rRNA from 1 species
UACGGAGGAUCCAAGCGUUAUCCGGAUUUAUUGGGUUUAAAGGGUGCGUAGGCGGCCUGUUAAGUCAGGGGUGAAAGACGGUAGCUCAACUAUCGCAGUGCCCUUGAUACUGAUGGGCUUGAAUUGACUAGAGGUAGGCGGAAUGUGACAAGUAGCGGUGAAAUGCAUAGAUAUGUCACAGAACACCGAUUGCGAAGGCAGCUUACUAUGGUCUUAUUGACGCUGAGGCACGAAAGCGUGGGGGAUCAAACAGGAUU